UACAGGUGCAGUUUUUUUUUAAUAUUUUUUUUUUUUUAUGUUUUAUCGUCUAAUAAAAAACCCAAAAAUUAUUAGACGUCUGCUAACUUCAGAUCAUUAAUAAUAGUGUUUCAAAAAUAAAAAAAAAUUAAAUAUUUUCAAAUUUGGAUUUUUCAAAAUAAUAACAUUUUUAUUUGAAAAAUAUUAAUAAUUAUUUGAAAACGAAGACAAAAUAACAGAUGGAGAACGAAAAAAAUGGAAUUCCGAUGGUUACCAAUAUACCGUAAAAACUCAGCACAAAGAUACAAAAUAUUUGUAUUGCCUUUAUCGGUCUAAAAAAAAAUGUCAAGCGCAUGGUAAAUUUUUUAAUGGUAAAUUUACGCCAACUAUAAAAGAUCAUACAUGCGACAAAACUGAGAGUGAAAUAAUGAAGGAAAUAGAAAUGAUUGAUGUAUCUGAAGAAGACAAACACCUUGAGAACCCGCUAAAGCUGCACGAUGCAAAGCAGUAUAUCCAUCAGCAUCCUGAAGAUUUAAAUCCGCGCCAAAUUUAAACAGCAAACGUACGAUGUUUUCAUGUCCUCUCAUAGCAGCUCUGUGGAGUGC